GUAAAUACAUAGAGUGGAAUAUAUGUAUACGGUGCGCAUCUGACAUUCGCCAGCACUAGCAAAGUCUAUGGUAUCAGCCGGCGUCAAUGAUGUGUUUGUUUUGAUCUGGAUUGUAUUGGCUACGUUUGAAAUGAUUGGGAUGUUGUAGUUUGAUUCCAGUGUGUCAUUAAAGGAACAUUUGGUCUCGUGUAAUUUGCAGAUAACUUUUCUAACAGAAAUGCCAUACGUAAUUGUACGUGGAACUCUAGGAAUGGCUAACACUAAAGUGUAUGGUCUCCCUUUGCAAGAAGCUGAUCUAAUAAGUUCGCAUAUGCGACCAGGUCCAACGAAUUCAAAUAAAGAUGAAAUAACCUUAUAUAACUCUGCAGUUUAUGUGUUAAAUCAGUUGGAAUAUUAUUUCGGCUACAGAGUAAUUACCUCUGCUUGCCAGGGCGAUUCCGGUCAACCAAUCUGGACAAUGUCUAAACACCAUUAAUAGAGCUAUUAUGUUUCAUCAGAGCGGAUUCUGAGAGUAUAUCUACAUUACACUUAGAAGGCUCCUGACUGCAGAGUGCAGAAAAUCCUGAUGAGGAGAAGAAUAUUACUGCUGUAAAUAAAGUGAAGUUUGUGUGUUCACCAGAGACAGUCUUACUACACUGUACCACAUAAUAAGAUACAAGCAAAUCAUAAACUCCUGGACUCAUUUGAGAAGUAUCCUUAAUGUGACCCCAAUAAGGAUUUAAACAAUAUGUUGUAGAAAUUAUGCUCAAAACAUAGUAAUAGUUAAACACAUUGCAUAGGAAUUCUUGUUUCCUUUAGAAAAUAGUGUAUAAUAAUUAGAAAAAUAGCCAUUUAUGAAGUUUGUGCAAAUUACACUGACUGUAUUUCCAUUUUUUUAGACUUUUGUCUCAUUCUAGAAUUGUGACAUCAAUAAUGUUAAAUAAGUAAGAUUCCAUAUAGUGAAUAUUGUGGAAUAUUGUAAACCAUAUUUCUUAUAAAUAAGUAAAGUCUUAUUUUCUGUUUUAUUUUAUGAUUUAUUCCUCAGUGAAUAGAGUUAUAAUGAGGCAGAGUUGUGCCUGUAACUUGGUUCAGCAUCUCAUUACAGAACUCUUGUUGAGGAAAGGAUAUCCCAAAACUACUGUCAAAUAAAGAAAGAUUAAAUGUAUAUCUACUAA